GAUGAACGCUGGCGGCGUGCUUAACACAUGCAAGUCGAACGAUGAAGCCCAGCUUGCUGGGUGGAUUAGUGGCGAACGGGUGAGUAACACGUGAGUAACCUGCCCUUGACUCUGGGAUAAGCCUGGGAAACUGGGUCUAAUACUGGAUAUGACUUCUCAUCGCAUGGUGGGGGUGGAAAGAUUUAUUGGUCUUGGAUGGACUCGCGGCCUAUCAGCUUGUUGGUGAGGUAAUGGCUCACCAAGGCGACGACGGGUAGCCGGCCUGAGAGGGUGACCGGCCACACUGGGACUGAGACACGGCCCAGACUCCUACGGGAGGCAGCAGUGGGGAAUAUUGCACAAUGGGCGCAAGCCUGAUGCAGCGACGCCGCGUGAGGGAUGACGGCCUUCGGGUUGUAAACCUCUUUCAGUAGGGAAGAAGCGAGAGUGACGGUACCUGCAGAAGAAGCGCCGGCUAACUACGUG
rnacentral:rRNA from 1 species